UACGUAGGGUGCAAGCGUUAAUCGGAAUUACUGGGCGUAAAGGGCGCGUAGGCGGUUUGCUAAGUUGGAUGUGAAAACUCUGGGCUUAACCCAGAGCCUGCAUCCAAAACUGGCAAACUUGAGUACUGGAGGGGAAAGCGGAAUUCCUGGUGUAGCGGUGAAAUGCGUAGAUAUCAGGAGGAACACCGGUGGCGAAGGCGGCUUUCUGGACAGUAACUGACGCUGAGGCGCGAAAGCUAGGGGAGCAAACAGG
rnacentral:rRNA from 1 species